UUUACCCCCGUGGAAUUAAGCAUAUUAGUAAGCAGAGGAACCCCAUCAAACUUGGAUUUUGUAAGUAGUUGCGAAUGAACACAAAUUUGAUCACUUUGGCAAUCUGUACACAUUGCUGUGUAACAAUUUGUAUACGUUGGCACAGUGCUAUCAAAGCUGCAUGCAAGUGUUUUUUGAAAGGAUACAACAUGGGAUGUGAUAUUCAUGUGUGUGUGCCUGCUUUGUCCACAGCCUGUGCUGUAUGAAUCACAUUUCUUGCAACUGAAAUGCUAAUGGCAUGGUAAAGUUCAUGUGACAUGACACAAGCUUGAGAUUCAUGAUGUGCAAGUACCAUGAGGGAAAUGUGAAAAGGACUUUGGAAAGAGAAUUAAAUAAAGCCUGCAUUUGCUGACAAUGAAAGCAAGUGUGGAUGUUCAUGUAAUUGUUACUGCAUCAAUCAAUGUUCAUCUUGGUUACUGCAUGCUUUAUAUUACAGCUCAGAACAUGAAGUGUGUGUAACAGCUCUGCUUUGAUUUUUCCCACAUGGGAUCAGUUGAAACAUUGUGAGAGCACUCUUCAGUUUCCUUAUGUACCCACCAGCUUUGUCCACUCGCGUGUUGGCACACAUGUAAUGAUGAUGUGUUUAUGCAAGAUACUUCUGUGCUCAACAACAUGUUGUGUCAAUCCUCACUUGACCCGUCUUGAAACCGGGAAAAAAGGUUUACAGUUUUUAGAACAUUCGGGUUUUUCAUUUUGACCACCCCACCACUGCCUUUCUCACUGUUUAAACACAGAUUGGAGUCGGCCCCCCAAAAAGGGGAAUCUACUUUUAUUUCUCGUACUUGGAAAGGUGAGAAAAUUACUUUAUCUUUUUA
rnacentral:rRNA from 1 species